GUCAUAGGCAAUCAUAAUGAAGGUAGAUUUGAUCACACUCGAUUGUCGUCGCCACUACCACUUCCUAACACCAGCAACUACACAUGCACCACCUCACCACAACCACAUAUACUACCAGCAAUAGAACGAUCGGUACCACACAACACCACCACCAAUAGAAUCACCUACACAUCAAAAAAUUUGGAAUUUGAGUGCUUUACAGCACUACCCAAAACUAGAUCUCAAAUAAAGAAAAACCAGAUCUCCAACCACCAUAGUAGAUCCGUUCGAAAAAAAAUAAUAAUAACCAACAUACAGUGGCGUCACUACAAUAAGCUUGCAACGACGCGCACUCACAUAUAGAAUAAUCAAAACUCACCUGCAAAAUAGAAUGUAAUUAGAACAAAGUACAUCGUCGCUAUUGCACAGUGGUGAUGUCAUCACCUCUGUGCAUCAGUGAAGAUAUGGGCAGCUUCAUGGGGCUUUAUGGGUGAGGCACCAAAUAACGAGUACAACAUCGCGUAGCAGCAUCAACACAUGGAGUGGCACUGUCAUUGCCGAAUGUAUGCAACACGGCUAUGACUUCCGGCGAUGCUGCUAUGGUCUCUCCACGGUGGCUUUCGCUGGAAAACACGAAAAGAUAGUAGGUAAUCAUCGUCGGCACCGCCUCUGGUACGAGAAGCAUUACCGACGCUGCUGCUAGUUCAAAUACUGCGAGUCACUACUUCCAGAAGCAACGAUGUCGUCGUUGUGGCGAAUCUUCCAAUGACGAUGGAGAUGGUGGGUAAGGGAUAGAUGGGUGAGCAGGUAAAGAGAGAGAAGGAAGAAGGUGAGAGGUUUGAAAAUGAAAUUGAUUUUGGGAUGAAUGGGAUUUUGGGGUGGGCGUAGG
rnacentral:lncRNA from 1 species